AUGACAAGCACUUUGAAAAGAGGGUGAAAAGAGCCUGAAACCGUCACGGGGGAAGCGGAUCGCGUUGGAUUGAUGGGUGCUUGCGUGUUCAGCCCUUUGGGUGCAUUGGCGCAAGUUGCUUAUCCGCUGUGAGUUUUCGGGGGUCGAUUUUGGACCCCUGGGGACUGAGGGCUCCCUUUUACAGGUGAGGACAGCGGAGUGACGACGCGAUACGACCCGUCUUGAAACACGGACCAAGGAGUCUAGCGCGGGUGCGAGUCGGAGGGUGCAAGCCCGUGGGCGAAGUGAAAGCGAGUGUAAAAACGAGCAGUUUGGGGCGGCAUAAGAUCGUUGAUCUUAAGACCGACCCAGAGCAGUUGCGCUGGGACCCGAAAGAUGGUGAACUAUGCCGGAGUAGGGCAAAGCCAGAGGAAACUCUGGUGGAGGCUCGUAGCGGUGCUGACGUGCAAAUCGCUCGUCGAACUUGGGUAUAGGGGCGAAAGACUAAUCGAACCAUCUAGUAGCUGGUUCCCUCCGAAGUUUCUCUCAGGAUAGCGGGCCGACAAGUUGUUUUGUGC
rnacentral:rRNA from 1 species